rnacentral:rRNA from 1 species
GACGCUGGCGGCCUGCCUUCACAUGCAUUCACCUCGGCGGGAGAAAAUACUUGCACCUUUCUCUCGAGUGGCGAAAAGGUGAGUAAUACAUCGGAACAUGUCCUGUAGUGGGGGAUUUUUCCCCGAAAGCCGGAUUAAUACCGCAUACGAUCCACGGAUGAAAGCGGGGGACCUUCGGGCCUCGCGCUAUAGGGUUGGCCGAUGGCUGAUUAGCUAGUUGGUGGGGUAAAGGCCUACCAAGGCGACGAUCAGUAGCUGGUCUGAGAGGACGACCAGCCACACUGGGACUGAGACACGGCCCAGACUCCUACGGGAGGCAGCAUUGGGGAAUUUUGGACAAUGGGCGAAAGCCUGAUCCAGCAAUGCCGCGUGUGUGAAGAAGGCCUUCGGGUUGUAAAGCACUUUUGUCCGGAAAGAAAUCCUUGGCUCUAAUACAGUCGGGGGAUGACGGUACCGGAAGAAUAAGCACCGGCUAACUACGUGCCAGCAGCCGCGGUAAUACGUAGGGUGCAAGCGUUAAUCGGAAUUACUGGGCGUAAAGCGUGCGCAGGCGGUUUGCUAAGACCGAUGUGAAAUCCCCGGGCUCAACCUGGGAACUGCAUUGGUGACUGGCAGGCUAGAGUAUG